AACGAACGCUGGCGGCAUGCCUAACACAUGCAAGUCGAACGAGACCUUCGGGUCUAGUGGCGCACGGGUGCGUAACGCGUGGGAACCUGCCCUUAGGUUCGGAAUAACUCCCCGAAAGGGGUGCUAAUACCGGAUAAUGUCUUCGGACCAAAGAUUUAUCGCCUUUGGAUGGGCCCGCGUUGGAUUAGCUAGUUGGUAGGGUAAAAGCCUACCAAGGCGACGAUCCAUAGCUGGUCUGAGAGGAUGAUCAGCCACACUGGGACUGAGACACGGCCCAGACUACGCCGGGGGGCGGCAGAGGCGAAUAUGGGACAAUGGACGAAAGCAUGCGCCCGGGUGGCCGCAUGAGGGAUGAAGGGCUUACGGUUGUAAACCUCUUUUACCCGGGAUGAGAAUGAGAGCCCCUGGAGAACACUCUCCGGCGAGCUCCCGGUCAACAGCGCCGUUAAUAAUCACAAGUGCACACGCCUGACC
rnacentral:rRNA from 1 species